GACAGAGGGUGCAAACGUUGUUCGGAAUUACUGGGCGUAAAGGGCGCGUAGGCGGCCUGUUAAGUCAGACGUGAAAUCCCCGGGCUCAACCCGGGAACUGCGUCUGAUACUGGCAGGCUUGAAUCCGGGAGAGGGAUGCGGAAUUCCAGGUGUAGCGGUGAAAUGCGUAGAUAUCUGGAGGAACACCGGUGGCGAAGGCGGCAUCCUGGACCGGCAUUGACGCUGAGGCGCGAAAGCCAGGGGAGCAAACGGG
rnacentral:rRNA from 1 species